rnacentral:lncRNA from 1 species
CUGAAAGUCACCCGUUUCAAAAUUAAUUGGCUUAAAAAAAUCAAAACUAAAGCCACUAUGAGUUCUGCUGCUGCAAGGAACUGAGUUCUGCCAACGAGCUGAAUGAUGCUGGAAGAGGACACCAAGCUCCAGAGGGACUGCAGCCCUGGCCUGCAUCUUGAUUCUACACCUUGAGCAAAGGAACCAGCAGAACAAUGCUUGGACUCCUAACCCACAGAAAUUGUGAGAUGAUGUUACAUUUGUGUGGUUUUAAACCACUAAGUUUGUGAUAAUUUGUUACACAGCAGAGAAAAACUAAUACAGGCAUACGUUGGAGAUAUUGUGGGUUUGUUCCA